GUUUGUGUAUGUCCGUGCCCAGACUCAGACAGCCAUAAUUCAAAGCUCUUCGCUGCUAAGCUGGUUAGCAGGCUUAGUGGUCAGCGGCGGCAAACUUCUUCACCUCUUCCUCACCAUUGCAAAGGGCUGGCUAUUCCACGAGCACAGCACUAACAUCUCUGACUGACAACUGGUUUGAAGACAUUGAUAAAAAGAUAUUGGCAUAUAAUUUUGAAGAAGAAGCUACUCAUCCAUCCAUCCAUUUUCUGAGCCGCUUCUCCUCACUAGGGUCGCGGGGGUGCUGGAACCUAUCCCAGCUGUCAUCGGGCAGGAGUCUUACUCCAAUGUCUCCUCAUGGAAGCCUCCACGCAGGGAGGUGUGUUCGUUCUGCCCGCUGGGAUGUCAUCCUGCAGUUUCCCUGGACCAGAACCCUGGGGGGCUCUGCACAAUGUGG